CCAAUAAUGUUGUAGCUACUACCACCACACAACAAUUUAGCAAAUCAAAGUUAACUAUACAAUUGGUUUGAAAUACCUUUGACUGUCAAAGAUUACACAUGGACCCAGAAAGAAACGAUUGGUAACAUAAAUGUACCAUUAAAAGGAGUAAGUUAAAGGUUGGAAAAGUAUACAUAUUUUCCACAGACGAAUAUCUGAAGGGAAACACCCUAAAGCUAGCUAGCUACCUAUCUAAAUGUUGUCAACAGUAGUAAAUGGUAAAUUGCUUUGGUUUGUCUCCUUAAUUUUAGGUACAUUUCCCCCCAUUUUUUAUUUGGUUUGCCUCCUUAAUUUAGGUACAUUUCCCCCGUUUUUAUUCGAAGCCUUUCCUGUUUGAGCCGAUAGAUGAUGACAAAAGCACAGCAAAAUUUGGAAAUGGAGUUGCAGUUUUCACAUUGCAGAAAAAAGGAGACUGGGAGCACCUUGUGAUUACUAACAUUUCAGGGCCAUGGGCCUUUCUCAUGAUGGAAAAACACAGAAUAACAUGAAGACAGGAACUGUGCAUGAGUUGUGGGGGCAUAUUCAGAACGUAGUGUUGCGAGAACAAACGGUCUUUUGUUAGAUAACAGGAGCCAGGUGCCUGAUAACUGUAUAUUCUACAAAACUACAACGACUGACCGCUGAAGCGCAAAGGGGGCUGGGACCAGCUCGGGCGCCAACAAUCAACGAUAGACUGGAUCAGAAAAACAGUGUUCAAUCAAUCAGCAAGAAAAAAAAAACAGGUGGAUUUGCCAGCUCCAAGAUCCACAGGCAACAUUCAAAUCAAUUUCACACCACUAGAGUUUCCCAAGGCCCUACGAGAAUCAAGAGUACCAGAGGAGGAAGAGGUGUAAACUCAUCUUUUCCCUUUCCACUUUCAAGUAUUAACCAGGUUUUCUCAUCAGUGAAUCUUUGGAACUGUGGUUUAUUAAAGGGCAAUUCUGCCACUUGUCAACCUCAUAUCCAUUAUCAGCACCAUACCAGUGUCUACAUACUGUAACGACCCUGGGUUUAUAUGCGUGGAAAUCGACCCUGCGGCACAGUCGCUAGCGCCCCGGACCUCUGGCUCGAACGUCGAGGGUUCGAGACCUGCUCCCUGCUGUUUCAUUACAUUGGUGUCUGAAGUGAUCGGACCUUGCAUCCACGACAGUGCGUGUGCUUGGGCGGUGAGCUCGUUCCUGUAAGACGUAGAGUCGCAAGCUAGCGUGAGGACGCGCUCUUUGAAAGGAGGGAAUAGGGUUUAUAAGCGCAGAAAUCAACCCUGCCUCACGAGCAUGCUUUUGCGGCACAGUCGAUAGCGCGCCGGACCUCGGGCUAGAAGGUCGAGGGUUCGAGACCUGCUCCCUGCCUGUUUCAUUACAAUACUAUAUGUUAAAA